rnacentral:misc_RNA from 1 species
CUGGAAAGUUUCGCGUGCUUAUUUCACUCACCAUACAGUAUAACAGUCUGAAAUAUGCAUACGACUAGCUAUAGUAUACAAGAUUACAAGGUAUCUAUCUCAGAAGCAAAGUAUUAUAAAGCACUGGAAAAUAUGUUACGCUUAUUUCAUCAUAUUUGCAUUCCUUUCAGUUUCCUGCGACUAACCAGCUCUAUUAGCAGGUUAUGGAAGCGAUUAAUAGAUGGGGAGUACCGAGCACUGCAAAAAUAACAAUACUGCGAAAAAAGAAAGUGUAAAUAAGGUGUCAGCAGCCUCGAUUCUUUCUUGGUCAUUAAGAUGGGUGUUGGGAAGUGAACAGACAUCCAUAACAAUACGAGAACGAUAGUUGGUCAAAACUUGUGGAAACAAAGCUUCAUUACUUGCCUUAUCUGCCAAACCAGCCUUUUCUUAGCAUACAAAAAGGGCAACUAGCACUUGAAAGCUUCAUCCCAUCUAUAGCCAACAGACCUCAUGCUACUCCAAAAGAUUGAAGCCUGUCACAGUGAGGAGUUGGGUACUUCCUGUUCCAUUGUCGCCUCUGGAGUUCUAUAUGACAGUAACGACCAAGCAUAUUUUUGUAAUCCCUAAUAACAUGGUCUUCAAUGUUAUCUCGAUCAGGACUACCAAGAGGAUACUUCUGAUCAAAUUCAUGUGAUUUAACAAAAUAUUCUACUCCAUGUUCUUCGGUCAUCUUCCUAAACUGAUAUUGGUAGUUCUUCUGCAAAGAAUACUCUGGCUCCGAGAAAGGAAGAUAAGCAAGUAAAAUGAUGAUUAAAAAUGGCAAUAACUGAAGGAGGAGAAGGAAGUUGGGCCCAGUGGAACCUAAAUCCUCUCUCUGGGGAGCAGCAUUUGUUCUUGUCCUGUAAACAUGAGCUGUCCUAAACAUAUCGGAACGCCCAAAAAACGCUCUGAAAAUCUCAUCAGGAUCAAAAUCAUCAUCAUAAUAGCUGUGCCCAGUUCUCCUCCUGCGCCUGACAUUAUGCUGCUGAUUAUACUCGAAAUCCUCAGCCAAACCUGUCUGGUCAUACUGCCUCCUUGAAUCAUCAUCACUCAAACACUUAAAUGCCUUGGAUACUUUCUUAAAUGCCUCUUCAGAGCCUGGAGCCUUAUUUUUGUCGGGAUGAACUUUCAAUGACAGUUUCCUGUACGACUUCCUAAUCUCCUCAACUGAACAACCCUUCUCUAGACCAAGAAUCGCGUAAUAGUCCUUCUUAAUCUUAAUUUGCCUAAUCAACUGCACAUGUUCGUCAGUAUAGUUCCUCUCCCCAUCGGAUACCUCAUCAGACUUAACACGACUCGUGUCAUUUUUCUUAUUUUCAACAUUUCUAACCUCACUUGAGGACUCAGGAGUCGGUGACUCCAGAUUUUCACAUGCAGCCAAAAGAUCUUCCACAGAUAGAUCAUUGUUAAGGCGCCGUGCAAUUCUGAUAAACUUGAGUGCUUUCUGCUUAUUGCCAGAUGCAAUUGCCUCCUUGGCAAUACCAAUGCACCUUAAA